rnacentral:lncRNA from 1 species
GUGGCCUGCCCCGCCCCGGAGGCCGAGCUUCCCACCUCAUGACUAUUCAGUGAGGCGUGGCCACGUCCCUCGGCGCGCUCCGCGGCGACCGGGGAGAAGUGCGCGGAGCCGGUCGGAACCAUCUGUGGCCUAGGCAGGGAAUGAGGAAUGUACCAUCUGAGGCCCCGGCCGCGCAGGGCGUCAGGCGCAGACUGUCCACGCGCGGUUAGACGCUCUUUGGGUGCAGACUCCCGCCCUUCCCGCCGCCUUGCUGCCGGAGUUCUGCUGCCCAGGACAACAGUGGAUCUCUCAUGGAGUGCGGAAGAGGAAACCAGCACCUCCUGCAUCGUAAGGCCUCUGAGCUGAGAAAAAUGAAGAGCAGUGGGGCUCUGAGGACCCUCAGUUCUCCAUUCCCAAGCCUCACAUUUUCUCAAGAAAGCAAUUCCGACAAUGAAGUCCUAAAGAGAUCAGGGUAGGGCUGCUGUCCCCACCACUCACUUCCCCCACAAAGAUCCCAGCAAAACGCAGCAGAGAAAUGCCAGCCACAGCCCAAUUUGAGGCUUUCCAAUGUUAAAAA